rnacentral:lncRNA from 1 species
UAAUUACCUUCAGGGUGACAGGAUGGCCAGACUCAUUCCAUAGACCAUGAAGAUUUUGUCUUACUGCUCUCAGUUCUCAGUCUGUUUUCUGGAUUUGUAUAUAUUUGUGGGGAAGCGAAGUACCAGUCAAAGUAUUGUUAUUCUCACCCUGAAGGAAACAUUGUGGGCAUGGCAAAGACUUUUAUUUAGAACAAAUUUUAUUCCUGGGCAUUGUCUUUCUUCUAAGCCCUCUUUUCCGCAGUACCACUAAUCUAUGUAGACCAUUGCAUUGCAUCACCUGCUAGCUCACUAGCCACCAUUUAUGGGAAACCCUCAAUGCAUCAGAUGUUGGGGAUUAAAAACAAGCAAUGAAGUCCAUGCCCUCAAGAAGCUGGUGUUUAGUAGAGAAGAGAUACACUGAACAAAUAAUCACUCUAUAAAAGUUCAGUCGUAAAAGCUGUACAAGGUGUGAUGAGCACAUCUGGCAUAAGUAAAAAUCUCCAGGUGGAAAAUAUUUCUUAUGUUAUCUUUUAGGAAGGAAAUUUCCCUUGUUCAAAAAAAUAAAAAAAAAAAUGGCAUCAUUCAAAUUAUCAACCCCAGAUGAAUCAGUUUCCAGUUGUUGGUGCCCUGUAGCUAGAUAAACCUUAAUUCUCCAGUACCAAAAUCUACCGACACAUAGCCAAGCCCACAACAAUACAAGCCUAGGGGGAAAUAUCAUAUUUCUCUGGGUAUGCAAUUGAGAAAACUCCAUACUUAGCAUCUAUGACUUUUCAUUGCAUAACAACUUAGGGAAAUAACAUCAGGCACAUAUUUAGAAGGUAUCCCAUGGUAACCAUGAGAAGUUGCCGUGGUCUCACAUAGCUGAACAUAAACAUUAAUCCUGGCUUAUCAGAUGCCUGGAAGAAGCAGAGAAAGCAAAAGUUAUCCUAUCUCUUUUGCAUUAUCAAAUUAAAUGCCCCUCUGGGCUUAAAAGAGCCCUUGUGGAACAACAAAAUUUUUGUCCCACACUUGGUCCCAUGGUUGUAGCAGACAUUCUCCAUGUCUGAUUUUUUUCUGAGAUUUUAAGGAAUGCAUCUUGCUCAUAGUUAUGGGAGUAUGAGUCAGUGGAGACCACACUGAACAAGCAAUUAAAGAGCCCUCUCUGCCUUUCCAUGUCUCUGUCUUUGCCUUUCUGACUCCCUAAAAAAUACUGCAAUCCUGAAUUCAGUUUCUUCGGUAUUCAGAUGGAUUCUACCCAGGCUUCCUAGAGAUUUGGUGACCAUUCAUUGAGUAAUGGGACAUUUCAACUUGCUGAGGGGAAGUUCUGAUAUGGCCAUGUGCUGCCUCCCCAAGACCAGAGUAGUUAACAGUUUCCAUCCAUAGAUGGGCAAGGCCAAGUUCAUUUUUUUUUUUUUUUUCUGUAUUUUCUAGGGCCGUACUUGCGGCAUAUGAAGGUUCCCAGGCUAGGGGUCUAAUCAGUGUGGUAGCUGCCGGCCUAAACCACAGCCACAGCAACAGCAACAUGGGAUCCCAGCCACGUCUGCAACCUACACCACAGCUCACGGCAACGCCGGAUCCUUAACCCACUGACUGAGGCCAGGGAUCAAACCCGCAAUGUUAUGGUUCCUAGUCGGAUUCGUUAACCACUGUGCCACGACAGGAACUCCAGGUUUAUUUUUAAGUGAAGGAGAGAAGAGUUGGUUUGGAGGCACAGUCUAAAAAAAGGGAGAGGAAGUGGAGGAGGAGGAGGGCAUAGCAACUAUUCUCUUCUGGGCAUCUUAUAUUGAAUUGGUAACUUGGCACAUAGGGUAUCUGGGAACCAAAAGCAGAUGCAUGCCUUUAAUUAGAUACUUGGGGAUGUGGGUCAGGGUACAAGUAAGAAACAUAGGCAGAACUCGGAGAGGCCAUGGACAGUGCUGCUCCAAGGGAGCAAUGAUAAAGUUGGGAGACAGAAGUCACAAUUCCCUCCAAGUUGAGCAACACUUCAGAGAAACUUCUAGCGCCUUGAGGACUGAUCAUCUUGAGAGUGACCCUGGCAAUGUUGGUGAUUUCCAGUGGACUCUUGGAGAAGUAGUCAUGAAAAGCCUUUGUGCUGGUGCACAAGUGGGACUAGAACAUGGGGAGUGAGGGGGGGACAAAGUGGUCAUGACUGUUAAUUGAUGCAUCAAUUUGUGAGCCCACAUAAAAGUUUUGGGGGGGUUUUGAGGAAUAAGUAGAUUUCUUUGAAGAGCUCUUUAUUCCAUUUCUUCACUUGCACUGGAAUUUAUGUCCAUUCUCCCAUUUUAAGUUUUGGCUUAAAAAAGUGUUAAACAUUGUGUUGGCUGAAUAAAGUAUGUCUUCAGGUCAAAUUUGGUCUGCAAACCACCAGAUCAUUACUUCUCUAUAACUCAUUAAAAUGUCCUAUGGUUUUCAGUUUUCUGGUAGCCUAAAUACUCAAAUAAUGCACCAUAAACUUAUUUAUCAGAACAUGAGGCAGGGACAGCUAGCUGACACCCAGCAUCUAGUCUUCCUUUGUAUCAAAACAAGUAUUUUAUACCUGGUGGCAAUGACCCAAGCUAAGACUGUUUUCUCAUCUCCUUUAUUGCCAAGGGUAGACACAUGACAAUGAAUUGGCCAAUGAGAUAUCAUAAAAGGGUCCUGAGGCCUCUCAUUCCUCUUCUCUUUCGGUUUCCCCAGCUUUUGACUGAGGACAAGGUGAAUGAAACUUGGGCUGCCAUCUUGCCUCAUUAAGUAACCUUCAGGGCAGAAGCGUGUAGCAGAAAGAGAGGCGUCUAUCUUUAAUGACAUCAGACUCUCUCCCUACCUAAGAGAGAAAAUUAUCCUGUUAAACUGUUUUCCUGAGGUUUUUGUUAUGCGCAGCCACCUAAUUCCUGCAAACUAUGCACCGUGUCUUUCAUACGCACUUGGGUGUAAACUGCGUAGCAGAGAACAAGGACAUCCACGUGGGGGAAAAUGACAUGAGUGAGGUGUGAGCCUGGCCACAAGAACGGGCAGGCCAUGUUUGUGAAGCAGUGACAAAUUCUUCUUGGCUUGAAGGGAGUUUUUUGAGUUGGAAAGGAGUGCGAGAUAUAGCCGCACAAUUCCCAGGCAAUAAAGCCACAAUCUUCUCUUAUCGGUGCUAGAUUGUCUUGUUUAAGGACUUCCAGCAUGUCUUUUCUCAGUUUUCGCCUCCUUGGAUUGAAAAGCUGUGGUCUUUUCCUGAUUCGCUCUCACAAGCCAUCUCCUACACGACCCCCAUUCCUGAAGGAGCCCUCGCCCAGAACGGCACCAGCAUCUUGGCACCCAGGUCAGCACGUGGUUCUCUCAGGGUUGGAACAAGAAUAAGUCUGCUUUGGAGUUCCAGGUAUGGUGCAGCAAAAACAAAUCUGACUAGGAACCAUGAGGAUGCAGGUUCAAUCCCUGGCCUCACUCAGUGGAUUAUGGUUCCAGCGUUGCCGUGAGCUGUAGCAAAGGUCACAGACACAGCUCGGAACCCGAGUUGCUGUGGCUGUGGAGUAGGCCAGCAGCUGUAGCUCUGAUUCAAGCCCUAGCCUGGAACCUCCAUAUGUGGCGAGUGCAGCCCUUAAAAAAAAAAAAAAAAAAAAAAAAAAGAAUAAGUCUGCUUUGACUUACAGAUAUAGAGAAUAAACUAGUGGUUACCAGAGGUGUGGGGGAAUGGGAGGUACAAACUAUGGGGGUGUAAGAUAAGCUCAAGGAUGUAUUGUACAACAGGAGGAAUAUAGCCCAUAAUUUUGUAAAUAAUGGUAAAUGAAAAGUAACCUUCAAAAAUUUUCUAAAUUUUUAAGAAAUUUUAAGCCAAAAAUGAAUGAAUGAAUGAAUGAAUGAAAUAAAAUAAAAUAUGUCUGCUUCUCUGUUGGGUUUUCAGUAGCCUUCCUGACAAUACCAAGCAUUGGUUUUAGCCUUUUUGGAGACAGAAAAAGGUCACAGCUGAGACUCAUAAUGGAAAAGACCACUAGGUCACUGGCAGAAAUGGAGGUGCAGACAAUGCAUUCAUCUCAUGGCCCCUCUCCAGACUAGGUCAGGAGCAUCCCUGAAAAUCCUGGACUUCUUUUGACCAUGAGCUCUCAGACCCAGUGUACAAUCUGCUAAGCUCUGUUCCUGUGAAGGCGAUGUAACCCCCUCGGGGGGUCUGCAGCCCGGCCAGGAUAAGCCUACUGGCACAUGACUUGAAAUUCUUCAAGGAAUCCCCUUCAUAUUUGAAAGAAAAAAAAAAAAAAAAACUGUCUGUGUUUCUCCCUUUCAGGCGCUACGUUAGGAACAGGCAAAAAUUGGGUGGGUCUUCAUUAGUAUGCACAGCUACUUUCUCAAACCAAGAACUGGAAAAUGUGUCUGGAUGAACUACCUCUUAUUAGCAGGGUGGAGGCACAGGCAAAAAUGAGUGGUGAGGCUUAUGUUCACAGCUGGCCUGUGCGCAUCUUUUUGAGUCUCCCUUUUCUGGCUUUCAUCGGAUGGCUUGGCUUUAAUGGGCCCCACGGAUAGAGCAUUUCAGUCCCACAUUUAAUUGAAGUCAUUCCCAGGCUCCACCUGACAGGUCCUUCAGACUCAGACACCAGAAACCAUGAACAAAUGUCACUCCUCUUCUGAUCGUCUUCUCUUUUUUAACAUGUUGAUUGAGUUUCAGGAUGCAUAACCCAAAAUACAAAGUGAAAAGACUGAUAAAAAUCCCCGAUUCCUUGGCUUGAAUACAUUUUACGUGUUCUGAGCCAGCAAGAUAACAGGUGGGAAAACAAAGGGAAAAAAGAAAAAUCUCACCAUUGCUUUUCAGGGCGUGAAUAUGAGAGGAAAACUUGGAUUGCUGAAAAUCAGACGGUGGUCUAUCUGUUACAGACGGAUCAGUCACUCCAGGGCUUUAAGGAGACAGACCCACAGUUACCUGGAAAACAUG